CUCUGCUCGGCUGCAGGACCUGUUGAGGACAGAGCUCCCUAGGGCCCUUGGGAAUUUUUCCCGGAAGGACCCCUCGACUCAUUCGGAUCGCUGCAGGAGCAGACAAGGACCAUCUUCAUAAAAGGUGUCUGAAUGCUUAAAUCAGCCAGGAGUAGCCAUAGGCUUGGGUUGGAUUUUCCUAGGGGGAGAUCGUGUUUGUAAAAGCCAGUUGCAUGGAUGGAGAAGGUCAGCUCAUUUUGACUGGUCAGCUUGGAGAUGUGAUGAAGGAGUCAAUGCAUCUUGUAAUCAGCUGGCUGUGCAGCAACACUGAGAUAUGCUUCUAGAAGUUUUGAUCUCCUUGACAACACCAACAUCCAUCUGCACUUCCCAGCUGGAGCUGUCACAAAAGAUGGACCCUCUGCUGGCAUUACCAUAGUAAGGAGAAUUAAAAGACAAAGUCCUGGCAGCAUACAGAGCUGGACUGAAGAAAAUUAUCAUUCCUCAGAGAAAUUAUCUUGAAGAAAUUUCAGUGAAUGUACAGCAAGAUUUGACUUUUGUUAUGGCAAGCUGCCUGGAUGAAGUUCUUGACACCGCUUUUGAUGGAGGUUUUGCAGUUAAGCCUGGAGUUGAGUACUUGAAUAGUAAACUUUUAAGAGCCAGGCCAAGAUUUUGUCUGUUUCAAGUUUCACAAGGAUCAAGAGCUAUCAACAUAUCAAGUAGAACUAUGAGCUAAAUUUGAUUGUUAAAAUGUGGGUGUAAAUGCUCUUCCUGCUCACUAAUUCUGAAACAAACUCAAGUGUGAUCAUGAAAUGUAUACUUUGUCACUGACAAAAACUAUUAUAGAAACAACCUAUAGAUCAAAAGUAAGCAUUUGUUUUGCUUUAAUUUCAGUAGACAGAAAGCUGAUUUACCUCAAACAUAACAGCAUCAUA